rnacentral:sRNA from 1 species
GGUAAAUUUUUAUCGGAUUGGAUCAGCGAGCGGCAAGGGCGACGAAGCGGGGAUAACGCCGCGUACGCGGCGGCCCCGGAGGGGCGAGGAGCGGAGCGACGAGUAAUCCCUCCCUCUCCGCCA